AGGCAUUUAAGAAUCAUCCGAGUUCUGCUCUUCUUGCUGGCUGGAGGUAAGAAUUCAAGAACAAACACCAGCAAAGAGAUUCAAUACAAAUAUCCAAUUUUGAGAUAAGGGAUGGAUAACCAUAGUGUGAGUUGAGCCACAGAAAUGUGGAUGAAUUCAAUAAAUAUUUGGAUGAUUGUUUAACAUUACUUCAUAAUUGAUGGGAAUAAAAAAGUAUAACAAAGAGAAGAAAUCA
rnacentral:lncRNA from 1 species